GAUCAUGGCUCAGGAUGAACGCUAGCUACAGGCUUAACACAUGCAAGUCGAGGGGCAGCAUGAACUUAGCUUGCUAAGUUUGAUGGCGACCGGCGCACGGGUGAGUAACACGUAUCCAACCUGCCGAUGACUCGGGGAUAGCCUUUCGAAAGAAAGAUUAAUACCGACUGGCAUAGUUCUUUCCGCCAUGGUAGGAACUAAUUAAAGUAAAUUUACGGUUCGUAUCGAUGGGGAGGUGCGUUCCUACUUAAGG
rnacentral:rRNA from 1 species